rnacentral:lncRNA from 1 species
GGUAACUGCACACUCUCCGCUCUCUGGGUUUCUAAUCAUUUCGUCUUCAAAGAAGGGGGUCGUUCUUGUGCUCAACUCGGGAGCGGGAAAGGCCAACCCCCUCCAAAGGCAGACGGGGAGCCGAAGUGGAAACUCAGGGACGGAACCCGAGGACACCGAAGCCACAGCCAAGACGACUGGAGCCACCCGAGAGGCGCCGGCGGCAGGCGCGGGGACACUCAGCGCCGCCCCGGCGUCCCCGGCGCCGGCCCCUCCCGCCUUCUCGCGCCCCCGCGUGCCCGACCAAGGGGAGGCGAGUCUCGCGCGCUCCCUCCGCGCCCGCGGACUGUUGGGGGCGCGGCCGCCGGGGCGCGCAGGGGAGGGGGCGGGGCCGGCGUGAGGGAUGGGCGCGCGCGCGGGGCCGCGAGCAGGGGGGCGGGGCGGCAGAGCUCGGCGGCUGGGCCUGGAGGACAGCGGUGGCGGAGGCGGCGAGCGGCAGCGGGAGCGGAGCCGAGAAGCCUCGCAGCACGCGGGCGCCAGGAAGGGGGGAGCGCAGAGCGCGCCUGCGCCGGCGUCCUCCCGCCCGGCUCUGAUUGGCUAAGGGCUCGCGCAUGCUCCCGAGGCGCGCGGCGGGCCCCCGCCCUCCCCCCUCACCCCACUCCCUCAGAGGUUUUCGGAGCCGGUUCGAAAGAUGCCGGCGGCGGUGACUGGCUGUGGCGGACCCGCCCCCCCCACCACCCUCCCGGGGUCCCCGCCCUCGCCGCCGCUGCCGCCAUUACGGAGCUCCCAGCGGUGAGUGCGCGGGGGGCUGGUGCUCGCGGUCCGCCGCCUCCUGCGUGGCGCGCGCGCGGGCGGGCGGGCGCUGCCCGGGUCGCGGCGUCGGCCUUCCGGAGCCGGAGCUCGCGCUGAGCCCGCCGCCCUUUGCCUCGCCGCCUUCAUCCCGGCUCCACUCUCCUCUCCCCCACCCCCCGCCUUGUGCUCGGCGCUCCCCGCCUUUGUCUGCUGGUCUUUCCGCCCGGGUUUUCGGGCCCGGCGCGGAGUCAGCUGUUCGCGCCCCUGAAAAGCCGCCGCCGCCGCCGCUGCUGCUGCUGCUGCCGCCGCCGCCACCCGGGACUCAGCUUUCGUUUUUACCCCCGUUCCCAUGGCUUUCGUCGAGCUUGUGACUCACUGCUCUGUAGACGAGGUGGAUUUAGUUAAUAUAGUCAAGCCUGUGAGUAGGGGCAUUUGUAAAGAGCUGGAGGUAGGAGGGGUGAAGUGAGAGCCCCAGAUCAAAGGGUUUUUUGUUUUUUUUUUUUAAUUAUUGACCGCUUGUCUAUGAUCGAAACAGGGCUUCCCUUGUAGCUCAGUUGGUAAAGAAUCUGCCUUCAGUGCAGGAGACCCGGGUUCGAUCCCUGGGUUCGAUCGCCUGGAGAAGGAAAUGGCAACCCACUCCAGUAUCCUUGUCUGGAAAAUCUCAUGGGCAGUGGAGCCUGGUGGGCUGCAGUCCAUGGGGUCGCAAAGAGUCCGCCACGACAGAGCGACUAACACUAUGAUUGAAACACCUCUUUGAGGGACAGUCCCCCCGCACAGAGAACGGCCAAGGUGAACUUGACCCCUCUUUCCAUGUGUACCUUUUCUUUCUGCGGUUAUGCUUCCUGACCUUACAUUACAUUAAAAAGUGACAGUCUGGUUCGAAGUGCAGCUGGGAAUUCCCCUGGGGCUUCACGGACAAGCUGACUUGUCUUAGAGUGACGCUAGACGUGGCUAGUUUGGAAGAUUUGUUUAGUCUGGUAUAGGCGUGAAGCUGUUAACGAAGUUUUAAAUUCAUUGCUCUUUUCAGAAAAUUUAGUGCAGCGUGUUUCAGAGUAGAAGUAACAUUUUUAGAGGGUAAUUUUGGCCUUGUCGAAUUGGAAGAUUGAGGGCGAUAUGUUGGGAGGAAGCGUCCUGAACUCUUCGUGUAUAGAUGAAAACGCUCACUCUUCAGCCAGUUAGAUCGUCCUUAUCUUAGGAGGAGGUACCUGUAGUGUCCAGAGCAUCUGUGUCCGAGACAAAUGCUAAUUAAGUAAUACUGAUUUAUUUGAAAUACAAAAGUGGGGAAAAAAGUUUCCAGCAAAUUAUAGGCAUACGUUUUGUGACAUUACUCCGUAAGUCUGAAUAUAGUGAAAGACUUUAGAUUGGGAACAAUUUAGUGUAAUCAGUGCAAGGCUAAUGACAUUAUAAUACGUAAGGUAUUGGCAGACAUUUUAUGGUAAAAUAUGAAAUAAUAGUACUUUCCCUAAAAUGCAUGUUUUCAAGGAUAUCAGAAAACUGAAAUACAUUGUUGAACUCCUGCUUAUUUUUCUAGUGCUUGCACUUAAGGUAGAGAAAGUAAAUUAAAACUCUGAAAUUAUGGACUUUCUACUUUUACAACCUUUUCUUUAUUGCCUGUAUUUAAACAGCUUAGCACUUCCCUUGAAAAAAGCAGAUCUUUGUAUUGUUCAUCUGACAUUAUACUUAAAAAACAAAAACAGAUUCAUGACCACAGGAAGUCCACACACACCACAGGUAAACUGAGAUUGGUUUGUCACAUAAGAACCCAAAUGAAAAACUUACUCAAGUUUCGUUCAUUCUUUCACUUUAACAAAUAUUUGUAGGGCACCUGUUUGGAGCCUAGUAUGUUCUUGGGCAGGAAGUAUAGGGCAGUGAACCAGCCAGAUAAGAUCUCUGUCAGGGAACAAGUGCGGCAGUCUUAAAAGUCUGAUCAUUCAGAAGCGCAGCAUCAACAGUUAAUAGGUACUUGUUAAGGUAGUUUUAAGUUAACCAUCCAGAUAGUUUUGUCAGCUCUGUGAUGAACCAUGAACUGAGGAAAUAAGUUAUUAACCAACCUAUUAUAAAGAGAGCCUUAAGCUACAUGACCUUUAUUAAGGAAAUUCAGAGCUGAGGCAAACAUUUCUUAAUGUUUAUAUUGUUUUAAAUUUUUAUUUUUUAAGUGUUUUUUACACAUGUUGAACAUAGAAAUAAGUACUGCCAGGUGUCAUUGUUCAUUCAACAUUUGCCCUGCGGUUGGUUGGUUGGUUUGUUUUUUAAUUUAUUUUAUUUUUGGCCGCACAGGAUUUUUGUUGCCGGAUGCGGGCUUUCUCAUGGUGGUGACUUCUCUUGUUGCGGAGCGCCAGUUCUAGGCAUGUGGACUCAGUAGUCGUGGCUUAGUUGCCCUGCAGCAUGUGGGAUCUUCUAGGACCAGGGAUUGAACCAGUGUCCUUGCAUUGCAGGGCAGAUUCUUAACCACUGGACCACCAAGGAAGCCCUCCCCCCAGUAUUUAUGCUGCACCCACUGUAUGUUGGGCAUGCUUCUAGGUACUGGGGAUGCAGUGAUGAAUUAGUUCUAGCCCUUGUAGUACUUACAUUCUGCUGGGAGAGACACAUAAUAAACAAGCAAAUAGACAUAUAUUGAGUUACAAGUGGUGUUAAAUGCUGUGAAGAAACCUGAAGAAGAAAAAGGAUAGGAGGGCUUUCUGAGGGGGCGACACUGUGCUGAACCUGAUUGAAAUAUCCGGGAAAGAAUGUCAGAGUGAGAACACAGCAUGUGCAGAACACACACUGAGGACCAGAAGGUCUGUGUGUCUGGACUCAAGAGAGGAGAGUGAUGGGGAGGUUUAAGCAGGAGAGUGUCAGGAUCUGUUACUGUGGUGGGUGCAUCCAGGAAGCUUGGCAAAGCAACUUAUUUUUCAGUUAUUCCAACCUGGGCAUACUUACCAGACCUAAUUUAAACUGAUAUUCUUGUCCUCGGGUCAAUGAUGUCGGGUGUCGAUGGACCAUGUACUUGUUGCCCUGGUUUUGGUCAAUUUUAUCAUUUUGGCAUUGAGAAUAAUUUCUUUGCACCCCCACUCCCUAAAAUUUGUUUUAAUUUUGAGCAAUUAGUAAAUAUAGAGUUGACUGGAAAUGUUUUGAUAUUUUUUUAGUGUUUUAUUUACAGAGAGAACAUAUAUUCUUUUAAAAGAUGUUCUAUGAAAAGAGACUCUUGAAGGUUUUGUUAAUUUCUCAGUAUCAUUUUCAGCCUAGCUAGUAUUAUCAUGGGUUAAGAAAGAUGAAUUAGCAGUAUCACUUUUCCAAGAAUAACCUGAUGGUGAAAUUGUGCUUAUGAAUGGUAUUUACCUGUAAAAUUAUCAGAUUUGUGUUUUUUUUUUUAAUCAAGGAAAGUAUAUUACUGUGUAAGUGCUAGUUGGAUGAGUAAGCAAGUUUAUGUAUUGAAAUUUUUCCGAGGUAGACUUUUAGCUUUCACAAACCUAAAUAAUGCCCUUAAGUCCAUUUUGAUUAGAAAACAAAAAUUUUUUUGCAAGUAUAUUUAUUUUUAUUAAAUUUAUUUAUUUUUAAUUAAAGGAUAAUUGCAAUAUUGUGUUGGUUUCUGCCGUACAUCAUCAUGGAUCGGCCAUAGGUAUGCAUAUGUCCCCUCCCUCUUGAGCUUCCCUGCCACCUCCCACCCCAUCCCACCCCUCUAGGUUGUCACAAAGCCCCCCCAAAACAACUGUUUUUAUUUCUGUGUUUUAUAGUUUUUGACAUAAAUUUCUAUAUGAGCAUUUUAAGUAGUCUUUGUAACAGUUAAUAACUAUUACCUGACAAAUUGAAAGCUCUUAAAUUCCUAGACAAGUUUAGAGCCUAAAGCAGAAGUUGAAUGAGUAGUCUCCUCUUGCCCAGUUCUUCAUUAAUGUUCAUUAGCACAAAGAUCUUAACACCUGACUGAUCAUUUUCUUUUCUUUUUGAGAAAUUUUUAUUAUAAAGUGUCCUUGAUUCUCAGAUGAGAUAAGGGGAGCAGAGGGUAUUAAGUGAUUAGGUAAAUUUGAGUGAUCUUACAUAGAUUUUAUUUUUCAAUAUUUAAUUUUGUUCUUAAGGUCUUAGAAGCAUGCUUAAUCUCUUAGGUGAUGGUCUGAAUUUGCUUUUCUGAGUCUGGAGGCUUUUAGACUGUUACGUUCUUCAGCAGUAUUUUUGUCCUUGUAUAACUUCUCUGAUGGAGAUGGAGUUAAGUUUGCAGUUAAGUUUCCUGACCCCUUUGAGAACAUUAACAACAUUUCUCUCUUUAGUAAAAUGAUCCUUGAGUAAACAUAGAUGAACCUUUUCUGGGUCUUGUAGUCUGUUCUAAGCUCCUGAUAGUAACAGGAGACAGGAUGGGGUUAGGGUCUUAUGAGCUUUCUUGUCCUGGCUGCCUUUGUUCAUGUGGAAGGUGCAGCGGCUGCUGUGGCUUGUGCGUUUGUCUUAGUCGCUGCUUUACACAGUGUGUAUUUUGAUAGUAAUUUUUAUCUUUCUGAAUGAUAAUUGACCAAGUCAUCUGUCAUUUAACUAUAAGUUUUAUAGUGAAUUUUCCCCCCUUUGGAUGUAUAUUAAAUUUAGACGUUUUAGUUUAGUUUUGUUUCUAUAAUCUUCACACC